CUGCAACCAUUUUUUCCAACACUUUAUUGUACCACAGUCAUUCUUGCAGAGGUUGAAAAUAUGCGUCAAAGCACAAAGAGUAAUAUUUAAAACUGUUAUACAUAUUAACCCCUUAAGGACACAUGACAUGUGUGACAUGUCAUGAUUCCCUUUUAUUCCAGAAGUUUGGUCCUUAAGGGGUUAAACUGGAACUGUUUGGUAAAUUGUGGCACAGGCUGAAAAAAAGAACACACACAACAGUUUUUAAACAUAGCCGUCACUAUAUCCCAUUGUCUGGGCAAUGAACAGUCAAUGGCAAUCCUUAAUGUUUCCUAUUUGUGGUGGCAAUACAUUUUUAAUUAGAAUGCAGAAUAUUAACAGUAUGGUUAGUAACCUCUUAUUUAGAAACCCCACCUUGAUCACACAUUGAGAAUUAGAUGGAACAAAAAUAUCUGACAUUACAUGUUAAAACACAUCAAGGCAGUGAUAGCUUUCUGGCUUUUUUUAAUACUGCCCAGAACUAGAUGAUACAUGCUGACUAAAUCCAUUAACAAAGAAAAAAAGCAGACUGUUCUUAAACUAUAACAAACCAUUUAACAAAAUAAAAUAGGCAAAAAAUAAAAAUAGUUGAGUAGGGCUUGUAUGUUCUCUGUUGACCUAAAUUAGGAUAGAUUGACAUCAGCCAUUGUCUUACGUAACAUGAUCACUAAAACAAAUUAUAGUUACAUUGCAAUUAGUUCUCUAAAUUAAAGUGAAGGGCUGAUGUUUUUGUCUUUGAGAACGAAGCAUUGAACACAGGUCUACAGACUAAGAACUCUUAAAGUAUAUGGACAUAAAGAAAUGGCUUGCUGCACUGGAUAAAGCAAUUAAAUGCAAUUACGAUAUGGAAUGUGUUGCCAGUUGAAGAUGUUUUCAGCCAUCAUUAGGUAACUAUGAACAUGCAAAAAUUCUGUAAUUCUGAUUUUUGUAAAAAUGUUUUUAAACCAGUUAUACAGUGCAUUAACAAAUAGCUGC